AAGAGAAAGAAAGAAAUCACAUGCUAAUAAUAUAAGACAGCCUAUCUAAAUUUCCAUUCCUGGAAUUUAUUCAGCCUGUCAGAGAAGAGUUGUAUUUUCAAACUUAGAUCAAAAUAAGUUUGGAGGAAAAGGAGUCUUUCUGACUUUUACCUUAGAGAGGCAUGCAUAAGAACUAACAAGUGUCUGAGGCCUAACAUUCUUCUACACUUUUUGGAUGCUUAUUUAUACUCAAUUUUUACUGUUAUUUUGUAAAGUAUCUCCAGCAGCUGGGGUAGGAAGUGCACGGGUUUUGAGGGAGGACAGAGAUUAAUGCCCUGCUUUAAACACGGAGAGCAUUCUGGGCGAAAGGAAUGCAGAGCACAAAGGCUUACAGGCAAAGUAACGGUAUCUUUAUUGCUUUGGGUAAAUUAGCUGCUUCAAAGCUGUUUCCUCACAUGCAAAAUGGAAAUCUCAGCGCUUGCCCUCGUUUAUCUGCUAUUUACUAUGUGGCAAGGAAUGUUUUAGUCACUGAAACUACAACAGUGACUAAAAUUUAGAGUAACUGCAAUUUAAACCAUAGUAUCAAAUCAUGCAAUUUAAAUCAUACUAUCAAAGGGGUAUAACAUAAAGAAGCAUAGAGUAGGUCGCGGUGAUAACUAUUAUGAGGAAAAUGAACCAGGGCAGUAAUGAAGUGUUGCUAUUUCAUAAACAAUGGCCAAGGGUACACUGCGUCCACAAGGUGUCAUUUGGAAAUCGACUUGAAGGAAGUGAGAGAAGGAACAGUGUGCAAAGCUUAAAGAGAAGUGUUCUGGGGAAGGGGAACAGAAUGUGCAAAGUCUUGAGGCAAAAGAAUCCCUGGUGCUCGAGGGGCGUAAGAGACUAACAUGGACAAAACAAAACGAAUGAGGUGGUACUUUCAAAGGGCGACUGGACCAUGAAGGUUCUGACUCCAUCAGUGGAUUAAUUCACUGAUGAGAUCAUAACUGGAUGGCAUUACUGGGAGAUCAUGGAAACUGAAAAGACGAAGCCUCAUCAAGGCAAGUCAACAAGGCACUGUGACCUUGGGAUAUCUGGUCUCCAGCUCCAGCUCCUCUCUGGCUCUUCCAUCUCUCUGGUUCCUGGCUGCCACGUUCCUCUGCCAAAUUCUUUUGCUGUGAUGUCGCUGCCUCACUGCAGGCCUAGAAGCAAUGGAACCAAGUUUUACUUUUACCUUUUGGAGCCGAGGAUUAUCCGAGAGAAGCACUUUUGACAUGAUGGGUAU